GAAGCAAGCCAGACAGCCGCUGGCGUGAAUGCAAAUUCACGCGGGAGGAAGGUCCGGACUCCACAGAGCAGGGUGACGGCUAACGACCGUCCGCCGUGAGGCGCGGAACAGGGCCACAGAGACGAGUCUUCGGGAGCGCGGCGCAAGCCGGUAACGCUCACGAAGGGUGAAACGCGGUAACCUCCACCCGGAGCAAUUCCAAAUAGGCACGCGAUGAUGCUGCUCGCGGAGCGUGCGGGUAGGAAGCUCGAGCCUGUGAGCAAUCACAGGCCUAGAUGAAUGGCUGUCAUAGCGCGUGGUUCGCUGCGCGCCGUAACAGAAUCCGGCCUAUCGGCUUGCUUCGUUU
rnacentral:RNase_P_RNA from 1 species